rnacentral:rRNA from 1 species
CUACGGGGGGCUGCAGUGAGGAAUAUUGCACAAUGGGGGGAACCCUGAUGCAGCAACGCCGCGUGGAGGAUGACGCAUUUCGGUGUGUAAACUACUUUUAUAUGUCAAGAAAAUGACGGUAGCAUAUGAAUAAGCACCGGCUAACUCCGUGCCAGCAGCCGCGGUAAUACGGAAGGUGCAAGCGUUACUCGGAAUCACUGGGCGUAAAGGACGCGUAGGCGGGUUGGAAAGUCAGGUGUGAAAUCCUACAGCUUAACUGUAGAACUGCACUUGAAACUUCUAAUCUAGAGUAUGGGAGGGGGAGAUGGAAUUAGUGGUGUAGGGGUAAAAUCCGUAGAUAUCACUAGGAAUACCUAAAGCGAAGGCGAUCUCCUGGAACAUUACUGACGCUAAGGCGUGAAAGCGUGGGGAGCAAACAGGAUUAGAUACCCUUGUAGUC